rnacentral:ribozyme from 1 species
UGCCCAGCAACUCCUAUCCCUACCUCCUCGCGGUACUGGCCGGGGUACGAGUAACCUUAGGGAAGAUCGGGUAACCAACCCCCGGUGGGAACUUUGGUCGUAUGCUGACAGGAAAAG